rnacentral:rRNA from 1 species
GAUGAACGCUGGCGGCGUGCCUAAUACAUGCAAGUCGAGCGAACGGACGAGAAGCUUGCUUUUCUGAUGUUAGCGGCGGACGGGUGAGUAACACGUGGAUAACCUACCUAUAAGACUGGGAUAACUUCGGGAAACCGGAGCCAAUACCGGAUAAUAUUUUGAACCGCAUGGUUCAAAAGUGAAAGACGGUCUUGCUGUCACUUAUAGAUGGAUCCGCGCUGCAUUAGCUAGUUGGUAAGGUAACGGCUUACCAAGGCAACGAUGCAUAGCCGACCUGAGAGGGUGGUCGGCCACACUGGAGCUGAGACACGGUCCGGGCUCCUACGGGAGGCAGCAGUAGGGAAUCUUCCGCAAUGGGCGAAAGCCUGACGGAGCGACGCUGCGUGAGUGAUGAAGGUCUUCGGAGCGUAAAACUCUGUUAUUAGGGAAGAACAUAUGUGUAAGUAACUGUGCACAUCUUGACGGUACCUAAUCAGAAAGCCACGGCUAACUACGUG